AUUGAACGCUGGCGGAAUGCUUUACACAUGCAAGUCGAACGGCAGCACGGAGAGCUUGCUCUCUGGUGGCGAGUGGCGAACGGGUGAGUAAUAUAUCGGAACGUAUCCAAUAAUGGGGGAUAACGAGUCGAAAGAUUCGCUAAUACCGCAUACGCCCUACGGGGGAAAGCAGGGGAUCGUAAGACCUUGCGUUAAUGGAGCGGCCGAUAUCUGAUUAGCUUGUUGGUGAGGUAAAGGCUCACCAAGGCGACGAUCAGUAGCUGGUUUGAGAGAACGACCAGCCACACUGGAACUGAGACACGGUCCAGACUCCUACGGGAGGCAGCAGUGGGGAAUUUUGGACAAUGGGGGCAACCCUGAUCCAGCCAUUCCGCGUGAGUGAAGAAGGCCUUCGGGUUGUAAAGCUCUUUCGCAAGGGAAGAAAACUUAUGAUCGAAUAAAUCAUGAGGUUGACGGUACCUUGAUAAGAAGCACCGGCUAACUACGUGCCAGCAGCCGCGGUAAUACGUAGGGUGCGAGCGUUAAUCGGAAUUACUGGGCGUAAAGCGUGCGCAGGCGGUUUUGUAAGUCGGAUGUGAAAUCCCCGGGCUCAACCUGGGAACUGCGUUCGAAACUGCAAGGCUAGAGUGUGUCAGAGGGGGGUAGAAUUCCACGUGUAGCAGUGAAAUGCGUAGAGAUGUGGAGGAAUACCAAUGGCGAAGGCAGCCCCCUGGGAUAACAC
rnacentral:rRNA from 1 species